rnacentral:lncRNA from 1 species
UGUCAGAAGACUCGUCUGGAGAAAAUAAGCCUGACUAUCUCAAAGUAUCCUGCAAAUCAACCUGAGGACAAAAACUUGAUAUCCCAUCCCAGGAAGCACACGUUUCCUAAGAAGAAAGCAUCAAGGAGGCAGUGGGAUAUAGCUACGAGAAGGAAAGGUUUUCCGCCGGUGACUGCUCUGUGCUGUGCAGUGAGCACUUCAGGACACAAGUCUUGGACAGGACAGGUCAGAUUAUCAGAAUUCGAGGUGAAGCUAAACUAUCUGUCUUCAGUUUCCCAGCUCAUCUACAAAGGUUCCAGUGCAGCGGUUUGGUGGGAAAAGACUUUAGUCUUCAGUGCUGUGUAAAUUAAUUUAUUUUGUGACAUAAUUUGUCAUUCAUAUCCUGGUCAUGCAUUUAAUUUUUUGUGUAUGUUUAAUUAUCGUGUAAACAGGAAUGUACGUAUAUGUAAAUAAAUAAAUAUAGUAUGUAUUAUAAUGUAUUAAUGCAAAAUUGUCUAAUAAGAAAUAUUUAAAGUGUGCAGUAAAUUUAGCUUUCUUUUUGUUCC